GAGUUAUUGCAAGUUACGACCCUUGUACAGCAUGCUUGCGUACUUCGUACUCCUUAGCUGCCGGAGGAAAAUAGCAAUUUUCACGUUAGCAGACGUUGGCGCCCCCCUCCUGCCUCGGCUGCCAGGGGCGAAAAUUUCCCGGAAGUAACCGGAAGUAGCCCAUAUCUCCGGAAAAAGCCAAAAGUCGAUUUAACCAAAAUCGUGCUUUUUGAGCUGAUGCUGGUUUUUUGAGCUGAUGCAUGGAAUCGACCCCAAAUUCGACGAGGAUCACGAAAAUGUUAUUUUCCCCCCUGACAGACCAACAAAUACGGAGUUAUUUGGCAUUUUAAAACCGGAAGUAAAACCGGAAGUUGAAAUUCCGUUAAUCUAAAAAAUGAACUUUGUCCUCCUUAAAAUGGUUAACAAGAUUUUGAUAGUUUUAAAAGUAGACAUUGUUAAUAAAAGUAAUGCGGUGCUUUAAAAGUUCUAAAAGUACAAUUUCAGUUCUGGCACAUAAAUAGACUUCAAUCGAAAUAUCAUACAUUCAACACGAUUAAACCCGUUACUUACUUGGUACUUAGUGGAAACCUGCAACCAAAAUGUGAGAGUACUUGUCAAAACUUUUGUUUCGGGUCCUACUAUUAUGUAUUAUCUGACUGGAUGCAGCUAUACUGCUCAAGGCUAUUUCAAUAGUUCGUCUGCAGACGAACUGCCGCGCAUGCGUGAAAAAAAUGCCAUUAGGAAUUACAGUUUUAUACUUUAAUAACCCUCCACUUAUCCAUCUAUUGGUAUUCUUCAUGGUUUAACCAACAAGUAUCAUCAAUCAAUUCCCCUGAAAAGUGAAAAACACCUCUGGUUUUAAGAAUAAAGAUUGGGUGCCACUGCUAAACGCCACCUGCCAGUUCCAACAUGGUGUAAAAGGGUUUUACACCAUGUUUACACCACCCUUUUACACCAUGGUUCCAAGCACAGAAUCGCCCCAUGAUACAACACUUGUACAAAUAUGUUUUUCAGUAAAGGAAAAGCAAUCAAAGAGCAAGAAUGUAUCGAAAAUGCGGGAUUGGCCCAGUCAGCAUCAGCAACCUGAACAAAUUCAAUAGAAAAUCGUAUUUUCUCAUAGAAAUUCUACUUUCUUUAAAUUACAUUACACUGGCUGUAAUGUAAGCUGGCCGUUGGCGUAAACCACGGUCACAAGGCAAUUGAAAAAAAUGUGUUACAUCCCUCGGCGCGUAUUCUAUUGCCUGCGUUCAACUUAUAUGCCCUUGUGCUCACUGCACUACAAUUAAACUUCUGAAAAUUGCAUUUGUUUGGCAAAGUUUUUUGACAUGUUGUUGUUUAAUAAGAAGGCAAAUAAUACAAAAUAUUCUUGAUUCCAA